UUUUCAGACAGGUUCUUGCUCUGUCACACAGGCUGGAGUAGUAGCACGAUCAUGGCUCACUGCAGCCACAAUCUCCUGGGCUCAAGCAAUCCUCCCCCUUCAGCCUUCCAGGCUCCAAGAGGACUUGGAAAAUUCAUGAUCCUAAUAAAACAAGUUCUUCCCUAGAAACAACUGUCAGCCACUUUCCAGUAGAAGAGAGAGAGACACAGCAGUGUUGCUCCCCGGCAGAUGCUGGCCACACAUGCCGUUCACAGCCCAGAGAUAAGCAAAGGUCAUGCGCACGAAUGAGUCUGUGCUAGUAUGGUUUCAAGCUGGCGAGGAAGAGCUCACGGUGCUUACCCAUGCAGUUCUUCAUCAUCAUGAAGCCACUUUCAUAGCCUUCGAAGCACUCGCACUCAAAGCUGCCCGGUGUAUUGACGCAGAUUCCACUGCCACAGAGAAUGGGUAAUUUGGAGGGUGUGGCUUUUGAAUUGGUUCUUGAAGGUUGUACAGAAAUGCUAGCUUUAAAGAUACAGAAUAGAGAGGCAAGAGAUGAAGCGCACCGGUGAAGAGAAAGGAAGCAUUUCAGGGAGCAGUAAGCCACAGAUUGGCUGGACUGGAGAGGCUGACAAUGAGUGUGGGUACAGGACGGACCGGUAGGAUUACUAAAAGCCCCCAGCAUGGGAGGAGACCGGCCCUUCCUGCUGUGAAGAUGAGAGCCAACAAUUUUCCACAGAACUUCACAGUAUAUCCAGAGCAAUGCAGCCCUGUCAAUGUGUUAGAGACAUUAAGCAACUUUGGCUAAUUUCACAACAAAGGAAGAGGUGGGGUCAGAACUGGAAGAACCCUGAGCUUCUUUAUCCAGCACCAGGAUUGCCUAUACCAGUGGAAGUUGUUCAGUGGGAAGUUACACAAUCCAGCCCUGCUUGGAUGGUUAACCUGGGUUGUGGCAGUGAAGGAUUUGACCGUGGGAACUUAACAGGUUGGGAGAUCCUGGAGGAGUCUGUGAUACAGUAGAUACUGUGACAUGUCACCCAGGUCCCUCUUCAGGAAAGAAGGACUUACUCCCCCUCCCCGUCAGCUAUUGGUAGUGUCGCUGGCAGAAAGCCCUCAGAUGCCCACUAUUCUAAGAGGACCUCUUCCCCCAUUCCCUGGGCAGCUGUAUCCCAAGAUUGGUCCUGCAGGUACCUAACUGCAUGGCUUCCAUGCCCUACUCAAGGCAACUCUGAUGGGCCAUCCCAGUUCCAGAACUCCCAGUGGCAUGGGCUGAGGACUUCAGUGGGACUGCAUCAUAGCCCCAUUUCUUUCUCUGCCCACUUCUGCUUUCCUCCCUUCCCUUCCUCAUUGUUCAUCCCAGGAGCAAGCCCCGAUAAACUUCCUGAAUGCUCUUCUCUGCCUUGGAGUCUGUUUCCUGAGGAGCUUAACCUGCCUCUGUCUGAAGAAAUAUCACAGGAACGGGGUGGAUGCAUUCAUCUUCAUCCCACUUCAAGUAACACUGCUCCAUGCGAAUAUCUACACCGAGAACGAAAUCACAGGGUGAGAAUGAGUUGAAACAUCCAUUGAACAGUCACAUGUCAAGCGUCUGCUCAGCACCAGGCAUCAUGCAGGACCCUUGCGGUGUACUGGUGGGCAAGAUGCAGUCCCUGACCUCCUGGAAUGGACUCCAUAAUGACAGUCAUUUAAGGAGAACAAAGAUGGAGUCUCACUCUGUUGCCCAGACCAGGUGUGGCGUGGUGGCUCAUGCUUAUAAUUUCAGCACUUUGGGAGACUGAGGCAGCUGGAUCACCUGAGGUCAGGAGUUCGAGACCAGCCUGGCCAACAUGGCGAAAACCCAUCUCUACUAAAAAUACAAAAAUUAGCUGGGCAUGGUGCUGGGUACCUGUAAUCCCAGCUACCUGAGAAAAAGUCCUAUUUUUAAGGAAAAAAUAACUGUGGUAAAUGUUUAUUUUGAUUCAGCAGACUGAAUGUAGAUAUCUACAGAAGGUGAUUCUGUCUUAUAUAUCUACAUUAACACAAACCAAAAAGCCACAUGCUUUGCCAGUGUGAAGUGUGAUAGUAAUCCAGCGUCUCAUUAUCACAGGGCUCUGAGGGGCUAGUCUCCUUAUAGCUGGUUCCGUCCCAUAUGUCAGCAGCUAAGUAAGAAUCUUCUCAAGAUGUGAAAGUCUUAUAUAAGUACAGGUGGCCUAAGAACUCUGGCCUGAGUCAUACUGUGAGGUUACUGAAGAAACCUGCUCAAGAAGCUCAAGACAAACUAAAAAUGUACCAUUUCAUAGCUUAUUGGAAUAAACUAGGGUGAGAGGGGAAAGGCAUCUGAACUAUGCAUGUAAAAAGUUAUAACAGCCAGGAAGAGCAAUCCUGUCUUUAAUACUGAGACCUCUAUGGAUGUUUAUAUCGGCAAUUAAAAGUCAGCACACUACUGAGAACUCUAUAUUUAUAUCAGGAAUUAAACGUCAGUACACUGGCCACAUAAGGCCUAUCAAUGCUGCGAUUGUCCUUGCAUGGAAAUUAAAAUAUGAAUUUGGAAACCUUUGGAUGGUCCAUGUUCUCUGAAGUUUGCUGCAGUCCCCACUGCUCCCUGUUGUCGCGUCACUCAUUUAUAUGUUACAUGCUUGGCUCCUGCAAGCAUCUGAGUUUGGGAUCCCUGAUUCAGAUGAGGUUCUAUCAGAGCAUUUACCAAAACUUUAGUUCUCAGAAUACUUUACAUUUUCAUGUGCCAGUUGCUUCUUGAAACUUUCUCACAUCCCCAGACAGAAUUAAUUAAUAUAGCAUAAUUCAAGUGGUGACAAAAGCAUUUAAGCAAAGUACAAGGAUGAAGAAUCCAAUAUAUCAUCUUAGAAUAUUAAAAAAUGCUUUUUUUUUUUUGAGACAGAGCCUCACUCUGUUGCCAAGGCUAGGGUAUAGUGGUGCGACCUCGGCUCACUGCAAUCUCCACUUCCCAGGUUCAAGCGAUUCUCCUGCUUCAGUCCCUCGAGUAGCUGGGAUUACAGGCAUGCAUCACCAUGCCCAGCUAAUUUUUAUAUUUUUAGUAGAGACGGGGAGGGGGGGGUUCCCCAUGUUGCCCAGGCUGGUCUUGAACUCCUGACCUCAGGUGAUCCACCUGUCUCAGCCUCCCAAAGUGCUGGGAUUACAGGCGUAAGCCACCACUCCCAGCCAUAAUUUUGAAUAAUGUUAUUGAAAAUUUAUUUUGCUGAGUAAUAAUUUACAAUCAAUGAUAUAUCUUCAUAUAUUAUAGCAUUUCAUUAUAGAAGGUAACUUGAUUUCAUUAGUCAUUUGGCCAUACUGAUAUUAUUAUUUUUGACAUUUUCUUUUUUUAAAAUUUCGAUAGUUUUGGGGGAAUAUUUUGUCAUUUUCAAAUGAUACUUAUUUCUAAACAUUGUAGAUCACUUAAAGAUAAUUUUUAAAAUAUUUAAAAAUCUGAAAGACAUUUUCUUUAUUUUUGUACUUUGGAUAUUAUGUUUUCUAAAUAAUUUUGUAUGAUUUUACAGUCAUGCUUCCAAUCCAGAUUUAAAUGUGCUAUCAAAAACUGAGUUAAAAAUGAAAUCUGUUUUAAUUAUAAUAACUGUAUGGUAUUGCAAACUUUUUUCUUACAGUAAAUUUUAAAAAUCACUGAUAUGUAAAUACUUUAAAGGUGAUUGCAUACACCACCACUAUUAUUUAUGCUUUGUCUACAUGUCUAAAUUUCAAAUACAAAUCUAUGUAAAGUUCUUUUAUAAACUAAAAAUUUACUGUUCCAUAGCUUAUUGGGGGAAAAAAAAUCUCUGUAGGUAAAUGAAAAAUUAUUGUUACAUACAAUGAAAAUUAAUAGAAAUUUCUUUUUCAAUCAUGAAAUUCAAGUUCAAACAUGACACUAAUAAAGAAAAA
rnacentral:lncRNA from 1 species